rnacentral:rRNA from 1 species
GUCUUUUUGUUUAUAAUUUAAAGUCUAACCUGCCCACUGAUUUUUUAAAGGCCGCGGUAUUUUGACCGUGCGAAGGUAGCAUAAUAAUUAGUUUUUUAAUUGAAAGCUGGAAUGAAUGGUUGAACGAGGGAGUGACUGUCUCUAUAUUAUUAUAUUAGAACUUUAUUUUUAAGUUAAAAAGCUUAAAUGAUUUUAAAAGACGAGAAGACCCUAUAGAUUUUUAUAAGAUUUUUUUUUAGGGGAUUUUAGAAUAGUUUAAUUUUAAUUAAAUAUCUUAUUUUGUUGGGGUGAUGGGAAAAUUUAAAUAACUUUUUUUUUAUUUUAACAUUGAUUUAUGAUUUAAUGAUCCAUAUUUUAUGAUUAAAAGAUUAAAUUACCUUAGGGAUAACAGCGUAAUUUUUUCUGAGAGUUCUUAUCGAAGAAGAAGAUUGCGACCUCGAUGUUGGAUUAAAAUUUAAAUUUGGUGUAGAAGCUAAAUAAUUAGGUCUGUUCGACCUUUAAAAUUUU